rnacentral:rRNA from 1 species
UACGAAGGGGGCUAGCGUUGCUCGGAAUCACUGGGCUUAAAGCGUGUGUAGGCGGGUGCCUAAGUACCUUGUGAAAUCCCACGGCUCAACCGUGGAACUGCUCGGUAUACUGGGUGCCUUGAGCCACUUAGGGGCUACCGGAACAAAUGGUGGAGCGGUGAAAUGCGUAGAUAUCAUUUGGAACGCCAAUGGUGAAAACAGGUAGCUGGGAGUGUGCUGACGCUGAGACACGAAAGCCAGGGGAGCGAACGGG